rnacentral:ncRNA from 1 species
GCGGUACCGGUUCACGCCCUCGGGCGACCCGGCGACC